CAGCCGCCGCGGCAAUACCGGCGGCCCGAGUGGCGGCCACUAUUAUUGGGCUUAAAGCGUCCGUAGCCGGGUUGGUUAGUCUCCCGGGAAAUCUGGCCGCUUAACGGUCAGAAUUCCGGGAGAUACUGCCAGCCUCGGGACCGGGAGAGGCCGAGGGGAUUCCCGGAGUAGGGGUGAAAUCCUAUAAUCCCGGGAGGACCACCUGUGGCGAAGGCGCUCGGCUGGAACGGGUCCGACGGUGAGGGACGAAGGCCAGGGGAGCAAACCGGAUUAGAUGCCCGGGUAGUCCUGGCUGUAAACGAUGCGGACUUUGUGUCGGACAAGCUAUGAGCUUGUCCGGUGCCGGAGGGAAACCGUUAAGUCCGCCGCCUGGGGAGUACGGCCGCAAGGCUGAAACUUAAAGGAAUUGGCGGG
rnacentral:rRNA from 1 species